GCAUUUUAUGAGACCAUUUUGGAAAAAGGAAUUGUAGAUAUGUUGUGGUUGGUUUAAGUUUAGUUUAUUUUUUGCCACAAAUAUUUUUGAAGUUUCAACCAGGAUGCAUGUUAAUAAGAUUGGCUAGGAAAUACGAGGAUCAUGCAAAAUGGUGAUCACUUCGAGUGGGUGUCGAUUAUUAAGACAAUCUUUCUGAAUCAUUGACACCCACUCGAAGUGAUCA
rnacentral:misc_RNA from 1 species